GUGAUGUCAUGCUUCGAAGAAAAGCCCUAUACCCGUUAAGGCAUCAUGGCCUGUACCCGAAACCGACACAGGUGGGGUGGUAGAGAAUACCGAGGGGCGCGAGGUAACUCUCUCUAAGGAACUCGGCAAAAUGGCCCCGUAACUUCGGGAGAAGGGGUGCCACCGCAAGGUGGUCGCAGUGAAGAGGCCCAGGCGACUGUUUACCAAAAACACAGGUCUCCGCUAAGUCGCAAGACGAUGUAUGGGGGCUGACGCCCGCCCAGUGCCGGAAGGUUAAGGAAGCUGGUCAGCGCAAGCGAAGCUAGCGACUGAAGCCCCGGUGAACGGCGGCCGUAACAAUAACGGUCCUAAGGUAGCGAAAUUCCUUGUCGGGUAAGUUCCGACCCGCACGAAAGGCGUAACGAUCUGGGCGCUGUCUCGGAGAGAGGCUCGGCGAAAUAGAAUUGUCUGUGAAGAUGCGGACUACGUGCACCCGGACAGAAAGACCCUAUGAAGCUUUACUGUAGCUUGGUAUUGUGCCCGGGCUCGCAAUGCGCAGGAUAGGUGGGAGGCUUUGAUCAUCGGCUUGCGGGUCGAUGUGAGCCAACGGUGAGAUACCACUCUUUGCGAGCUAGGGUUCUAACGGCCACCCGUCAUCCGGGGGCCGGACAGUACCUGGUGGGCAGUUUGACUGGGGCGGUCGCCUCCUAAAAGGUAACGGAGGCGCGCAAAGGUUUGCUCAGGCUGGUUGGAAAUCAGCCGACGAGUGUAAAAGCAGAAGCAAGCUUGACUGUGAGACCAACAAGUCGAACAGGGAGGAAACUCGGCUUUAGUGAUCCGACGGUUCUGAGUGGAAGGGCCGUCGCUCAACGGAUAAAAGUUACUCUAGGAUAACAGGCUGAUCUCCCCCAAGAGUUCACAUCGACGGGGAGGUUUGGCACCUCGAUGUCGGCUCAUCGCAACCUGGGGCUGAAGUCGGUCCCAAGGGUUGGGCUGUUCGCCCAUUAAAGCGGUACGCGAGCUGGGUUCAGAACGUCGUGAGACAGUUCGGUCCAUAUCCGGUGCACGCGCAGGAAUAUUGAGAGGAUUUCUCCCUAUUACGAGAGGACCGGGAGGAACGCACCUCUGGUGUACCAGUUAUCGUGCCAACGGUAAACGCUGGGUAGCCAUGUGCGGAGUGGAUAACCGCUGAAAGCAUCUAAGUGGGAAGCCCACCCAAGAUGAGUAUUCCCAUGGCGUAAGCCAGUAAGGUCACGGGAAGAACACCCGUUGAUAGGCUCUAUGUGGAAGCGCAGUAAUGCGUGAAGCAGAGGAGUACUAAUAGACCGAGGGCUUGACC
rnacentral:rRNA from 1 species